ensembl:lincRNA
AUGCUUGCCCACAAGAGUCCCUCCAACCCUCGGCACAUCGAGAAUGGUCUGAGCAGCAAAUCUCCCAGGACUCCCUCUGGGCUUAAAAGCGUAGCAAGUAUUCGGGACAAGAUUUCCCAAUGGGAAGGUAAAACUGAGACCAUCGGCUCAAACACCCAAACAGUGGCACUGAAGGACGCUGAAGCUGGGAAGAAAACAGGACAGCCUGAAGUACAAAGGAAAGACAGCAAGAGACUUUUCAACUGGGAGAGACAAAACUGCGGCAAAGAGAAUGGGAGGAAAAUGACAGAAACUGGUCAGGAUAAAAAGUCAGUGUUGACGCACAUUAAAAAACUUGAGCAAGCCAUGAAAGAGACUCCUUCCAAAUCUUCAUUCUCAAUGCCAGGCAAUUAUUUCUGCCCUGCUUCCAAAGAGGAGCAGGAAGAGUCAGAAAGGAGGGGUGUAGAAUCCAGUGGCAGGCGAAGUCGGGAUCCUGAGAAUGUCUACAGCGAACCUGGAGCUCCUUCCAUCAACCCCUUGCCAAAACCACAAAGGACCUUUCAACAUCACACCCAAACAAACAACCCUACGGCCAACCACAGUUUUAUCAAGGGUAAACGGAAUCUUCCCCCUUUACCCUCAAUCCCUCCUCCCCCCCUACCCUCCUGUCCACCACCUGGAGUCUGUAGAAGGGCAACCGGAAGAGUUCGAGACUCCAUUAACAGGAAGUCUUACGAGUUUGAAGAUCUUCUACAGUCUGCAGCAGAAGGAUGUCGAACAGAUUUGUACGAGCUUUCUAAGCUUGGCCUCACACGCACUUUAUCAGAGGAGAAUGUCUACGAGGAUAUCUUAGGUAACACGAUGCACUGCACCACUACAUGCUAUUAUAGUUUACAACGUUAUGUAAAAAUGCUCAUUUUAUUUUCAAGACAGAAUUCAGAGCGACGCAGUUUUAACUUACUGGAGCUGCGCAGGACAGGCGGAAUCGCGUCCCCAUCACGGGUCAGCCCUCCAUCAACACCCAGCAGCCCAGACGACACCCCGUGCCUGUCUGGAGACCCGUACAACCGGCGGCGCAGGAAAAUUCCAAAGAUGGUGCAGAAAAUCAACGGCAUCUUUGAGGCGCGAAGGGGUAAAAAGCGGAUGAAAAGGGUCUCGCAGUCCACAGAGUCCAGUUCAGGAAGAGUGACGGAUGAAAACAGCGAGUCUGAAAGCGACACAGAGGAGAAACUGAAGGCUCACAGUCAGAGGUUAGUGUCGGUCCAGUCUAUGCUGAAGCAGACGGGUCGAUAUCGCACUUUGGAGAGGGAUUUAAUGGACCUUCAAGAGAGGAAGCUGUUUGAAUAUUUCCUGGUUGUGGCUCUUCAUAAGACCAAAGCCGGCGUGCCGUAUUUACCUGAAGUUACACAGCAGUUUCCUCUUAAGCUGGAGCGAAGCUUUAAGUUCAUGCGAGAAGCUGAAGACCAGCUGAAAGUGAUCCCGCAGUUCUGUUUCCCUGAUGCUAAAGACUGGGCACCUGUGGACAAUUUCCCCAGUGAGACAUUCUCAUUCGUCUUAACCGGAGAAGAUGGCAGUCGGAGAUUUGGGUAUUGUCGACGUUUAUUGCCCAGUGGUAAAGGAAGGCGUUUACCUGAGGUUUACUGCAUUGUCAGCAGACUGGGCUGUUUUGAUCUGUUCUCCAAGAUCCUGGAUGAAGUGGAGAAGAGACGGGCCAUUUCUCCAGCGCUGGUCCAGCCGUUUAUGAGAGGAAUCAUGGAGGCUCCGUUUCCAGCGCCGGGACGAACCAUCAGCAUCAAGAACUUCCUCCCGGGUUCAGGAACAGAGGUGAUAGAUUUGUGCCGGCCCUCAGAUUCCCGUCUGGAACAUGUGGAUUUCGAGUGUUUGUUUUCCUCUCUGAGCUUGCGUCUGCUUCUGCGGGUCUUUGCUUCUCUUCUGCUUGAGCGACGGGUCAUCUUUACCGCAGAUAAGCUCAGCACUCUCUCCCAGUGUUGUCAUGCUGUGGUGGCUCUGCUGUACCCAUUCACCUGGCAGCACACCUACAUCCCAGUUCUGCCUCCAGCAAUGAUGGACAUCGUCUGCACACCGACACCUUUCAUCGUGGGGCUUCUGUCCAGCUCACUGACCCGCCUGAAAGAGCUCCCGCUGGAGGAGGUCCUGGUGGUCGACCUCGGCAGCAGCCGUUUCCUGCGACAGAUGGAUGAUGAAGACUCGAUUCUGCCUCAUAAACUGCAGGCGGCGCUCGAACACGUGCUGGAACGGAGGAAAGAGUUCGCCUCUGACCUGGCAGAUAAUCCUAGCGGUGAGGAUCUUUCUUUGAAUGCACCAGUCAAGCCCGGUUGUCUGAGUUCUGUGGUGUCGGAGGCGUUCGUGCGUUUCUUCGUGGAGAUCGUGGGUCAUUACUCCCUCUUCAUGGGUGAAUCCUCACGCGAGGCGUUCCGUAAAGCCGUCUCCUCUAAAAGCCUGCGCAGGUUCCUGGAGGUCUUCAUGGAGACGCAGAUGUUCGCCGGGUUCCUGCAGGAGAGAGAGCUGCGGAGGCAGGGCCUGAAAGGUCUGUUUGAGAUGAGGGCUCAGGACUAUCUAGAUUCUCUGCCCGGCGGCGAGAAUAGAGGCGUCAACAAGUUCCUCAAAGGUUUAGGACACAAGAUGAAGUUUCUGUCCAAAAAGUGA